rnacentral:lncRNA from 1 species
AGGGUUCAUGUUAGAGUUUUAGUUAUACCUAGCAUUUUCGCCCAUGGGUUGUUGUGAGGUAAAAUACCUAGCAUUUUCUCAUGAUUUUCGUUAUACCCAUUAAUGUUAGAACUAGAAAACCAUAUAAAUUGCUAUGAUUCUUCCUAGGUCCGAAAUUAGGGUUUAUGUUUGGGAUUUGGGGCUUUUGCCAUGGUUUGUUAGAUUUGAGAUAAGUCAAAACUGAGGGGAUGUUGUGCGAUUAAAGAGGUCUUUAUAUGUACAUAAAUAAAAGGUAACAUCUUUUUUAAUGCUAACAAAUUGUAUCGCUUAUUGUGAGGUGUUUAUAAGGAUUUGUUGUUGAUUUUUGUUUGUUUUGUAAUUGAUUUGUAUUAGCAUUUUAGCUAGCUGAUUGGGAGAUUUAAGACCGAAGAAAGCAGUUCGUGAAUUGGUGACUUGCAAUGAAAUUGGGGAGAAGAGGGACUUGCACAAAAUGGCCCAUUAACUGGACAAUAUGAUAGUUAACAUUCACCUGGUUGGAGCAUGUUUGAACAUCUAUUGAAACUGAUUAAAUUAUAACUGUUUGUGAAUGUGGACUAUAAUUGUUAGCUUGGACUAUGAGACCAGUUGGAAGUCAUAAUUAGAAGUUCUCUCAAUAAGUUGAAGCAGCUUCGGCACCAAAUAAAUCUUGAAAAUUGAUCCCGUGUCAUUAGUUUUGAAAAUUAAACAGAGAAAAAAGAAAGAAUAGCCUUUUCUUUCCAUGAACCUAUGCUUCUGUAUAGAACAUGCUUGGAUAUAAAUCAAAUAUUUGAUGCCAGAACUCAUUCUUAUAAAGUUAUAUUGCAAGGUGUUAAUUUGAUGUCCUGGAAGCUCAUCCCUGCCACGACAUGUGUAGUCUACUUAGUUUUCUUAAUUAAUAGCCUAAAUUAGUUGCUGCCUGUUUUAGUUUUUGUUAUUUUUUUCUUACAUGUCACUGGAAAUUCUAUUAGUGUACUUGAUUUUAUUUGUUUUUUGUCUCCACGAAGGUGUCGUUUUCUUUUAGUUGGUCUAUCAUAAUUUUUUAUGCAUCUUAAACAAUUGCUUGAUUCGGAGCAUUCCAAUCUCUUUAACUCCCUAUUACUUUUGUUGCCCAUUUUAGAGAUGGAACCUGAACCCUUAGGAAGAUGACUUGCUUCAAUAACUGUCAAAAUAGCCAUAAACUGUUCCUCAAAACCCACACACGAAACCCCCAAUACUUGAUGGAUCUCCUUCACUCUUUGCAAGACCUAAUCUGAAUACUCCGACCUUGAGCGACCAGAUUUUCCCAUCACGGCGGGGGAGAUAGGAGCUAAGGGGAGUUAAAUUCUCCUUGAUAAAAUUAAAACCUAAGAUAAAUUCCUUAAUAACAAAUUUGAAAUCUUAUAAACUAAAAUCCCCAACUAAUCAUCAGCACCCUAAAUAUCAAAAUUAUUAUUUCAUCCAUAAAAUAUUACAGUUCUGUGUUAACCUAAAAAAUUAAAACCUCAUUAUUUUGGGUGCUACAGUACAGUUGACAGCAGCAUUUAUUCUCUUAAGUAACUUAUCACAAGUCAAAAUUCUGUGGUGUAGCUGUCCACGCCAUACAAGAGACACAGAACAUCAUAUUUCCUUCCAAGAAAGAAAACCUUCAACCUGAAGCAUUCACUAUAAAGAAUGAUUUAACCUCACAUAUGUAAAUUCUAGGUAAUUCCCAACCAGAAACAUCCAUUCUUCCUAUCUAAUCCAUGCCGCAUACAAUCUAAGAAAACUAAUUUGCUCUCUGAAAAUAAUUGAAUGUCUUAAUUAAUGGAAAGCUGAGACAAAAGAGAGAGACAUGGUAAACCAUGUGAAAAAAAGAAUAUGUGUGUCAUACUCACGUUGAGUCACAUGGUGCAAGCACGUCGUGUAAAGACUCAAUUUUUUUUUCCCCCUGAAUCAUGUAUAAUUUGCAUAGGAAAUUUCCUUUUAGGCUGGAUUACAAGUAGUAAACAUACAUGUGACUGAUUCAAAGUCAUCUUGGCAUUUGGGUGCUACAGUACAGUUGACAGCAGCAUUUAUUCUCUUAAGUAACUUAUCAACUCAUUCUUAUAAAGUU